rnacentral:misc_RNA from 1 species
GAAAUGCGAUAAGUAAUGUGAAUUGCAGAAUUCAGUGAAUCAUCGAAUCUUUGAACGCACAUUGCGCCCGCCAGUAUUCUGGCGGGCAUGCCUGUCCGAGCGUCAUUUCAACCAUCAAGCCCCCGGGCUUGUGUUGGGGACCUGCGGCUGCCCGCAGGCCCUGAAAACCAGUGGCGGGCUCGCUGUCACACCGAGCGUAGUAGCAAUCACCUCGCUCAGGGCAUGCUGCGGGUUCCGGCCGUUAAACAGCCUUACAAAACCCAAGGUUGACCUCGGAUCAGGUAGGAAGACCCGCUGAACUUAAGC